AUUGAACGCUGGCGGCAGGCCUAACCCAUGCAAGUCGAACGAGUGGCGGACGGGUGAGUAAUGUCUGGGCCACUGCCCGAUGGAGGGGGAUAACUACUGGAAACGGUAGCUAAUACCGCAUACCAUCGGAUGUGCCCAGAUGGGUGUAGCUCGUAGGAGGGGUAACGGCUUACCUAGGCGACGAUCCCUAGCUGGUCUGAGAGGAUGAACAGCCACACUGGACCGGAGACACGGUCCAGCCUCCUACGGGAGGCAGCAGUGGGGAAUAUUGCACAAUGGGCGAAAGCCUGAUGCAGCCAUGCCGCGUGUAUGAAGAAGGCCUUCGGGUUGUAAAGUACUUGCAGCUGGGAGGCGUUACUCGCAGAAGAAGCACCGGCUAACUCCGUGCCAGCAGCCGCGGUAAUAG
rnacentral:rRNA from 1 species